rnacentral:lncRNA from 1 species
CGGUUUUCAUUGGAGGUUUUUGAAGAUCAAGGGGAUUAGAGAAGAGGAGCUUCAUGCUUCGGGUCGGGGAAGGAAAGACAUAGAAUUUGGAUUUUUCUUCUUCAUAGAGUUUUGGGAAGACUGAGGCAAUCGCUGGUGAAGUCAGUAUUGUAAUGGUGAAUCGGGAUUUUUAAUGAAGUGGAUUUGAAUACUCUUGACUGUUUUGUGAAAUCGAGUUACGUCUGUGAUUGAAGGAUUAAAAGGGUGUCUAUAGGAUUGAGUAUGCAGAGUGAAUGAAAUUUAUUGGGUUA